GAAACAACUUCCUAUUCCUGUGUCAUCUAAUAAUAUGCAACAAGGAUGACAAAUGAUGUCAAUCUGAUUUGGAUUUGAAGUUGUUUUGUUCACUGAUGGUGUUGUUAGGGUUGAUGGUGAGUCGGUGACAAGGAGAAGAUGUAAGAGGUUUUGGACUACGCGGCUCAGCUCUUGUCUUCAUCUUUACGACAAGGUGAUCUAAAUGUCAUAGUCAAGGUUCCUCGAAGAAUGAAAAACUGUUUGGAUGAUUCGGCUAGCAAGGAAAAUCUUCAACUUCUGAAUUUGGCGGUGUUUUUCAGAAAGUUUAUCAGUUGAAAUAAAGUGAGUUAUCUCACUCAUGCGGAUUAUGUCUUUACAAUAGUCACCGAGUAUGGGUUGAUGGGGUCAUCAGAAACCGCUAUUGCUGUCCGCUGGCGCACACGAAAGAUACUUAUAAGGAUAAUCAAAGUAUUGGUUUUAUUUGAAUCAUACUGUUGACGUUAACACACAUUUUCAUGGCCGAGUCGCUAAAGUUUCACCUACACCGAUUUCUCAGCCGUGCCGUUGAUCGAGCAUUUUAUGCAUAUUCGUCAAUAGCAAAUUGCUGAUGAUGACGAUAAGCUACAUAUACGUUACGUAGCGAUAGUGUUAAAAUAGCGGGCACUAUUUCAUCUAUACCUGGUGUUUGUUUGUUCUUGAUAUUUUAAAAGGACCAUAAUAAGAUCAACUCUUUGUUCUUGGUGUUGUGCUCUUGCUGUUUAGGUGUGUGUGGUUUUUUAUAUUUAGAAACUACUAAUAUUUUAUGAUGGACACUCUAAUGGUGUGGUGGCUUAUGAGGUUGACGAACAAUGGAAUAGAUGGCUGCUCCAAAUAGUGUAGAAGCAGUUGCAUGACCUUUAGGUGACGAACAAUGGAAUCAGGUGGCUGCUCCAUUGAAUUUGGACCUAAACGAGUCAGUUCCCAACUGUUGAGGUAAGACACAAAACACACUCAAUGGAAGGUAUAUUUUUAAACUUGAAGCCUAUCUGAUUUACACACCAUGUGUUCAAUCUAAUGCUCAUUUGAUUUGUUUCUUAUUCUUUUAAAUUAGGUUUGAAUAUAAUUACAGUUUAUUCUGAAUGAUCUUUUGAUGCUCAGUCUUUCAACAACUUUCCUAACGAGUAGAUGUUAAAUCUUGUAAAAUUUGAGGUCUAAUGCUUUCGUAAAAUUUGUAUGAAUUUUAUAAGAGUUUUGGUACUAUUUUAUAUGAAGGUUACAUGAAGGGCGUCGUGCUCCUGAAGGUUCUGUUUCUAAUAGAAGGCAUCGUUUUUCUUCUUAUGUUUUUAUGUUAAGUGUCCAGGUCUGUCAUCGGAUGGGUUCAAUAUGGGCCGGUCGAGUGGAUUGGGUAAUGGUUCAAAAUAGGGAUGAGCAUUUGGUGCAGGAGACCGAAUCGGUACCGUACCAAUUGUGAAUUCGGUGAUCGACAAAUUUGGAAGUGUUGCUUCAAUGGCGUUGGUUCAGUGUAGAAUUCCGGAACCGGUUGUGAUAGUCGACGAUUCCGGGAGUGCACAUCACUGUAACACUUGGCGGCUUUGAACGUGAACAGUCGGCGUCUGUGGGUUUAAAACCAUGGCUAUGAACGGCGGAGACACUCAGCCUUUCAAAGUUAAUUUUAUACCUCAUUCGAACUUUGGAGAUUAAACUGGGGUAUAUUAACCACAACUUUUGAUCUCAAGUUUAUCAAGUGGCCGUUUUUAGUGGAAGAUAUCCAAACGACAGUUGAGUGCCGAAGGGAAGUACACAGAAGAGCAACUUCAAGAAUACAUGAUGUCACGCAAGAAGACAAUGAUUGAUUAUCUUUGGAAGCUUGAUGUGGCAGAUAUUGAAGCCACGGUUUCUCGUGUCUGUCAGAUGGUUCUUCAUGAUCAUACUGAAAAAAAGAGGAGCUAAGGGAUUGAGAAUUCUUUGUUGGAUCUUUCAGAAGGCAAUACCAGCCGCCAAUGGGAAUGAAAGGUAACCAAUGUUACACUCUGGUAUGCAUCAUCUGAAUGUUGAUGACACUGAUCAUACUUCAAGAGCUGCAGAAUCUUGUCAAAGUUCUCAAGCCACAAUGGCACUUCAGAUCGGAAAGCUCAAUAUGACAAGGUGAAGCAAGAGAUGCCACAAUGAAGUGAAAGAUUCACUCAUGCAUUAAUUUAAUAAUAAAGCCAUUAUACUUAAGGAAUUUAUAAUCAAAUUUGUUCAUGAAUUAGUUGUAAUACACUAUAGUAAAACUACACAUUUUGACAUGAAUAUAAUGUAUUAAGUAACAUCUUUUAAUUUA